CUUUCCGUGUGAGUGUGUUCUCUUAAUCUUCCCCUCUCCUCUUUCUGCUCCCCUUAUCUUGAGAUCUCCUUUGCCAAGGGAUGGGCCUUUUUGUGGAGCUGCCUUACAGAUCAAAGGUGUUGCUGCCUAAUCUCUCUCUCUCUCUCUCUCUCUCUCUUGAGUGUCCUUCCUACGGAGUGACCUCACCAGGACCACUUCAAGUGGGGAAACAGAUGCUGAGAAGCCUAAACUCUCAACCAUCUCCUUUCACUUGGAGAAGAAAGAUGGAUUGUUGAUUUGCAGAAAGCAGAUGAUGCAGAUAAAAAUGGACACUCACUCAAUUUAUCAAAGUGUUUAUUUAGUGAAGCCACAGAUACACGUCAUAAGAUGGUGAGUGUGCUGUGUUACAAGUCCAUCUCACCAAAGUGUGGGCAAACAUGAAUUCAACAUAGAUUUCUUCUCUGUGAAAUAAAUCAACAUUGACUGCAUUGUUGAUCGAUUGUGUUGACCCCCACAAAAUAUGAUUUGACCAUGGGUUCGAGAAUUGGACAUGUUUAUUAGGUGUUAGAAGCCCAGCCCAAAGUUGUGCAUGGAAGCUUGCUCAACCAAGUCAACCAAGCUUUACGAUCUGGGCGGAUGAGAAAGGACGGCUUCGAUGCGUUUGGGGAUUGUUCGAGGAGGAUGCAGUCGAUCAGUUAAACAGAUGCCGUUCGUUCGACAAAGCGACGGUUCAGAUUUGGGCACGUGGUAAGAAUAUUUAUUUAUAAUCCCAUAUCGGUAAUGAGGCGAUUGGUUCGCGUCUUCUUAUACCGCAGAGUUGGCGAUGAGGUUGUCUCUUCGGAGACAUCCGAUAAAAUUGGAACGAUACAGAGAAGAUUAGCAUGGCCCCUGCGCAAGGAUGACACGCACAAAUCGAGAAAUGGUCCAAAUUUUUUUUCGCUCUCGGCAUUCUUUCCUUGUUCGAUCGCGAUCGGGCUGCUCUUCUUAUGCUCUUUUGUUCUUUCUUGCUUCGUGUUCUUCUGCUCUCUCUGUCCCAAAAUCUUCAUCUUUUUCUCGUUCUUUUCCUUCUUAUUUCCUUGAUCAAGGCACAGUGAGGAAGAAAGCUGCUUCUUCGGAGUGCGGUCGUGUUCCUUGUCCUCGUUGGUCAGUCCAUGGACGCUGGUCAUCUUCCUCGCUCGCUGAUCCACACCAAUGCGGACGCCUCCGUAGAAUCAAAUCGCAUGAUGUGCUGCCCUUGGUCCGAAGCGCCGCUGCGAGGAAAAAGAUUGUCCGACAUCACCAACACGCUGAGUUCGGGGACGGCCGGAAUGAUGGGUGCCGAUGUCGAUCGAGGUAACUCGAAUGUGAUUUCUUGCCCGAUCUCCAAAGAUUGCAUCGUCCAGCUCACGAAGGUACCUUUGGAGAUUUUCUUUUUGGUCUCCCUUUUUCAUCUUUCUUUCCUUCUUCAUCUGCAUUUAGUGUUUGUUUCUAAAAAAGAUUUUUGAAAAUGCUCUUUUCUUUACAUGAUCAAUAUGAAUUCCAGGAAAAUACUGCCUUGUUGAAGCUUCUUGCAGAAAAGAAGUAUGUAAAUUGUAAAAGACAAAAUUACUUCUUGACUGAGAGAUAGUCCGUCGAAAUUCAUGGACCAGCGAUCGAUUGAUAUGGUUUGAUCCGUUGUUUGUUUUGGCAGCAAAAUCAUAGAACUGAGUAGCACUGAGUCGCAAAAACUCCAAUUUGAAUUGCAGAAAACCAGUCAACAAAACUGGCAAUUGGCCCGGGCUAACUCACACAUGCUAGGGGUUGAUUCCUUGUCCAUUUUCUUUAUUGUUUCAGUUUGCAAAAAAGAUGCAUUCUUUAUCUGUUUCGUCUUUUGCUUCGCAGGAGCUCAACUUAGGGAAAGAUAGAGUAUGUUUUCUUGCCUUAUGGUUUGGCUCAUUGUGAUUUUCGUUUGCUAUAAUAGGCGAUUUAAUUUGAUUUACUUUGUGUCAAUCGAUUGAAGUUGCAUGUCAAGUUAUUUUGAUUGAUAAUAUUUAUUUGUUUAUUUCAUGUUGCAGCUAAAAGUAUUAACGACAUGAGCUUGGUUGUACCUUAUCAAUCCUUAAACUAAAGACUUCAGAAUUAGAGGUAAGGAGGAUUAUUAUAGUUUCAUAAUUUGUUUUCUCCUCUCUUAAUCUCUAUGGUGAUAUAUAUUUUUUCUUUACUCUAACUUAGGAGAAAGAAAAAUUGAUCAAAGAUCUCCUUAACAAAAUUGGCUCAGAGGUAUCCGAUGGCUUGUUUUGUUUACAUUCAGGCUGCCCUUUUUUUGCUCAUACUGUUAUUUUUCUUUCUACAAAUUGCAAAAGGUAGGAACCACCAAGUGUGAGGAGGUUGAAGCAAAUGCAACUCAACUUGCUAAUGACAAGAAAAUCUGCAAUCCCAAUAAGAAGCGCAAGUUAAAACCACAGUCUUUAGGCCCUACCACUUUGGUUCAUCAAGUGGCAUCAGAGGGAAAGGUUGAUGGUAGAAGAAGGAGGUUCUUACGAACAAAAUCCAGUGGCUUGAAGUCUGAAUCAUGUGAAUUUGUGAAUGACUUGCUCAAAAGAGAUGAUGGCGGAUCUCCAGUGACCCAUCAAGUGGGCCUAGAUGAAAAGAAGUUCGUUCCGAACAAGAUCCUGUAGUUUGAAAUCUGAAUCACAUGAAUCUAUGGAGUUGCACAAGAUUGAUGAUGCCAUACUUCCAGUGACUUGUCUGGUGCCAUCAGAGGAAAAGAUUGAUGGAAGAAGAAAAUCCUUGCGGAGGAGAUCCGAUUAUUUAAAGUCUGAAUCAUGUGAGCCUACUGAGAACUCAGUCAAGAUGGAGGAUGCCAAGUUUUUAGUUUAUACGAUCAAGAAUGAACGAGUAAGCUAUUGCUCAUGGAGAUUGUUAUACUUCUUCCAUAUCAAAUAUUUCUGUUGAACGAGUAAAGAAUGAGAAGCAUAAUUCAAUUGGGUCUUCAGAACUCGGGAAUCGGGAGUGCCAAAGAAGAUCCUCUGUUGGAAGGCCAUUGCGGAAGGCGGCUGAGAAGGUCGGUUCUUACAAAGAAAUGAAUCUGAAUGUAAAAAUGUGAAGAUCAGAGUACGAUUCUGGGUUAUCUGCUUACAUCACUAAAAUUUCAGAUGGUGCUAGCUGAGAGCUGCUGAUAUUCUUGGAUCCGUUUAAUAUAUCUGCUAGAUGAGAGCUGGACAUGCCAAUGUUUUCUAUGUUCUUGAUAUUUUGUGAUGACAUGGUGAAAUGUAUUACUGUAUUGUAAGAUUAAUUAGUAGGAACCCAUAGCUUAUUUUUGCAGCUUCUUUCCUUCCUUUUAGUUUGCCCUGCACAAAACAGGGAUAUUUUGAGACAAAAUAGUAGUAGCAUUAUAUGUUGUAUGAUUUGCUACGAUUGAAAUUUAUACUCGUCUCAAGGAAAAAAUGGUGCUUUGUUUUUUCUUGUUUA